UACAGAGGGGGCAAGCGUUGUUCGGAAUUACUGGGCGUAAAGGGCGCGUAGGCGGCCUGCUAAGUCGAACGUGAAAUCCCUGGGCUCAACCCAGGAACUGCGUCCGAUACUGGUUGGCUUGAAUCCGGGAGAGGGAUGUGGAGUUCCAGGUGUAGCGGUGAAAUGCGUAGAUAUCUGGAGGAACACCGGUGGCGAAGGCGACAUCCUGGACCGGUAUUGACGCUGAGGCGCGAAAGCCAGGGGAGCAAACGGG
rnacentral:rRNA from 1 species